rnacentral:rRNA from 1 species
UCCACGGCCAUACCACUCUGAACGCGCUGAUCUUGUCUGAUCUUGGAAGCUAAGCAGGGUCGGGCCUGGUCAGUACUUGGACGGAAGAGGAAAUGGAAGGUACCUGCUGGGA